rnacentral:tRNA from 1 species
AUUUAUAUAGUUUAAUAAAAACAUUACGUUUUCAUUGUAAAAAUAGUAAAUUACUUAUAAAUU